GAGGGUAUAGCUCAGUGGCAGAGUGCAUGCUUAGCAUGCACCAGGUCCUGGGUUCAAUCCUCAGUACCUCCA
rnacentral:tRNA from 1 species